UACGUAGGGGGCAAGCGUUGUCCGGAUUUAUUGGGCGUAAAGAGCGUGUAGGCGGCCAAGCAGGUCCGCUGUGAAAACUCGAGGCUCAACCUCGAGACGUCGGUGGAAACCAUCUGGCUAGAGUCCGGAAGAGGAGAGUGGAAUUCCUGGUGUAGCGGUGAAAUGCGCAGAUAUCAGGAAGAACACCCGUGGCGAAGGCGGCUCUCUGGGACGGUACUGACGCUGAGACGCGAAAGCGUGGGGAGCGAACAGG
rnacentral:rRNA from 1 species